CCAAAGGCUAACAACUAAAUACCCUGCAUUUGCAGGACUGUAAAUGAGGUAACUUCUGAGUUUAUUAAAUUAGUUCAACCUAAAAAUAAAAUUGUCCUAUUUUUUCUUACCCAAAACUAUUUCCAUUAUUCCUUUCUCAAACUCAAUCACAUGCCCUCAUAGUGCUGACUUUUUUUUUAUUAAAUAAUUCUAUAAUGCAUACAUUGAAUACUUGUUAAAUCUGCAAAGUGCACACAUUAAAUUCAAUUAGACAUGGAGAAUCUGUGCAAACUGUUCAGACUUCAGAAACAUCUUCAAAUAUAACAUCAUGAACCAAACUGGCCUGCAGGGUAAGUACAAAAAAAGCUGAAAAUUCUGUACAAUUUAAAGAACAAAAAUCAAAAAAAGAAAAUGGUCCUAUACAUGUUUGGUAUUCAAAUUCCAGUAAUAUAUUACAUAGUCAUGAGGGAGUAAGUGAUUGAUUAGUGAGUUCCUUGAUAUUAAAAUGAUUAUAUUUGGCAUAAUCUCCGUCCUUGCUUGUAAAACUGUUCAUAAAGACAAUCAUGACCUCAGAUGAAUAGCAUGUGACUUCCAGCAGAUGCAGCAGCCUAUCAGGGAUUAUUUUUACACGCAUGAUAGAUUUCAGUUGCUAUAAUUAGGUCAGCUCAAGUCCAGCUAUAGAGAGGUCACAACUAAAGCAGUAAAUCAUCGGCCCUUCAAUACUUUUCACAUUAACAUGCAAUAACAUAAAUAGAAAAUUCUAUAAAACUAUAAUUAAAAAACAAAACCUGAUUCAAUGACUUUCAUGAGCAUCAACUCUGAAAUGAGUUUUAGAGACAGUCUUAAACAUAUUAACACGCAUUUCUCUGCUCACACAGAGAAAUG